UGCAAGUGAUGACAGUAAUAUUUGCUAUCUGAGUAGGUGAUUACAUUCCCACCAAGAUCGCUGAUGCA